CAAGCGAUUCUCCUGCCUCAGCCUCCCAAGUAACUGGGAUUACAGGCAUGAGCCACCGUGCCUGGCUAAUUUUUGUAUUUUUAGUAGAGACAGGGUUUCACCAUGUUGGCCAGGCUGGUCUCGAACUCCUGACCUCGUGACCAGCCUGCCUCGGCUUCCCAAAGUGGUGGGAUUACAGGGUGAGCCACCGCGCCCCGCCUUGAAUAAGACUUUAUGAAACAGCAACCAGUUUCAUUUGAGCGGCCUUACCAUUUGAAAAUAAAUGAUGCCAUAUUUAACCAGAUGGUGAGUAUGGAAUUACUUUAUAUAAACUCAACUUGAUGCCAAUAGUUUUACAUAUAUCGGUUUCCUCAAUGUGGAGAAAAGAGAACUGUCUCUGGGGCCAGGAUGCCUGGGUUGGAGUCUUCUAAGUCACAGUGUGACUUUCAGCUAAUCUGUAUCUCUGCAGGCCUUAAUUUUCUGGUUUGGAAAAUGGAGGUAAGUAAAUGAGAGACUCUCCAAGAAUCUCCCAGCUUCAAAAAGCUUAGAUGCUAAUAUGUUGCAGAAAUCCCGGCAUGGAUUCAGAAUCUUCAAGUUUCAUUAUAGGACUUGCUUUUUAAUAGUCUUCCUGCAUCUUCUUCCCCUUAUUGCAACUCAGUCAAUUAGUCAAUUUCUCUGCAUUUUAGUUUUGUUCUAUUUGUCAAAUGGAGAUAAUAAGAGAUGCCUUAGAGGGACUCAGGGAGGAUAAACUAAUUAAUGGUCAUAAAGUCCUAGUGUCCUUGAGCCUGCUAAGUGGUCAUGAUUCUAAACAGAUCUUUAUAGCUUCUUGGCCGCUCACUGCUUUAGCAUUAGACAGAACCAUUUAUUUUUUCUUAUUUUUUAAUUUUCAUUAUUGUUUCCUAUAAAGGACAGCACCUUACAACAUGAUUUUUUUUUUUUAAAUCAACAUGACACAUGGAAGCAAUGGGAAGAAGCAUAUCAGAAGCAAAGGCCAGGCUGGGCGCAGUGGCUCAGGCCUGUAAUCCCAGCACUUUGGGAGGCUGAGGCAGGUGGAUCACCUGAGGUCGGGAAUUUGAGACCAGCCUGGCCAACAUGGUGAAACCCCAUCUCUACUAAAAAUACAAAAAUUAGCCGGGCGUGGUGGUGCACAUCUGUAAUCCCAGCUACUUGGGAGGGUGAGGCAUGAGAAUCGCUUGAACCUGGGAGGUGGAGGAGGAUCAAAUGUGUAAAUGCCAAUUCAGAGAGGUGAGCAAAGCAGGAAGAAAGAAAGAAGGAGGGGAGGUCAAGAUGAGAACUCUGCUGACUCCUGAUUCUCCAAGGUACAAAUUCUCUGCUGUGUUACCUACCCAGGCCUCUCUCCCACUCCUCUCUUGCUUCUGAC
rnacentral:lncRNA from 1 species